rnacentral:rRNA from 1 species
AGUGAACGCUGGCGGUAGGCCUAACACAUGCAAGUCGAACGGCAGCACAGUAAGAGCUUGCUCUUACGGGUGGCGAGUGGCGGACGGGUGAGGAAUACAUCGGAAUCUACUUUUUCGUGGGGGAUAACGUAGGGAAACUUACGCUAAUACCGCAUACGACCUACGGGUGAAAGCAGGGGAUCUUCGGACCUUGCGCGAGUGAAUGAGCCGAUGUCGGAUUAGCUAGUUGGCGGGGUAAAGGCCCACCAAGGCGACGAUCCGUAGCUGGUCUGAGAGGAUGAUCAGCCACACUGGAACUGAGACACGGUCCAGACUCCUACGGGAGGCCGCAGUGGGGAAUCUUGGACAAUGGGCGCAAGCCUGAUCCAGCCAUACCGCGUGGGUGAAGAAGGCCUUCGGGUUGUAAAGCCCUUUUGUUGGGAAAGAAAAGCGGCAGGUUAAUACCCCGCUGUUCUGACGGUACCCAAAGAAUAAGCACCGGCUAACUUCGUG